AGUUUUGCUUUUUAUUCCGACGAGUACACACCGCAGUGCUUACAGGAUGCGUUGCCGGCAAGUAAUAACGAAGAGUUAAUGCAAGAAUACUAUUAUAUCACUCAUUAUUUCAAUAUUGCAUGCAAAUUAUUUUAUUUUAUAAUGGAAUUGUGAAGUGGGGAUAUUUGGUUUCGAAAGACGACAACAAAAUCGGACCUUCGACCGACUUUGACAGUUUCUAGUUCAGUUUUGCUUUUUAUUCCGACGAGUACACACCGCAGUGCUUACAGGAUGCGUUGCCGGCAAGUAAUAACGAAGAGUUAAUGCAAGAAUACUAUUAUAUCACUCAUUAUUUCAAUAUUGCAUGCAAAUUAUCUUAUUUUAUAAUUGAAUUGUGAAGUGGGGAUAUUUGGUUUCGAAAGACGACAACAAAAUCGGAACUUCGACCGACUUUGAUUCUUUUUAGUUUAGUUUUGCUUUGUACUGCGACGAGUACACAUCGCAGUUCGUACAGUACGCGUUUUCCGCAGGUAAUAACGAAUAGUUAAUAAAAAUAUAUUAUCAUACCGUCGUUAUUUCAAUAUUCUAUGUAAAUUAUUUUAUUUUAGAAUUAAAUUAUGAAUAGGAGAUACAUGAUUACGUGCGACGACAACAAAAUCGGACCUUUGACCGACUUUGACAGUUUCUAGUUCAGUUUUGCUUUUUAUUCCGACGAGUACACACCGCAGUGCUUACAGGAUGCGUUGCCGGCAAGUAAUAACAAAGAGUCAAUGUAAAUAUAUUAUUCUAUCACUCAUUCUUUCAAUAUCCUAUGCUAAUUAUUUUAUCUUAAAAUUAAAUGGUGAAGUGGGGAUACUCUCCCACCCGUGACGACAAUAUAAUCGGACCGAUUGACAGGUAAUGGUUCAGUCUUGCUUCGAAUUUCGACUAGUACACAUCGCAGUUUUCGCAGUACGUGUCCUCCGUAAGUAAUAACAAAGGGUCAAUGUAAAUAUAUUAUUCUAUCACUCAUUCUUUCAAUAUCCUAUGCUAAUUAUUUUAUCUUAAAAUUAAAUGGUGAAGUGGGGAUAUUCUCCCACCCGUGACGACAAUAUAAUCGGACCGAUUGACAGGUAAUGGUUCAGUCUUGCUUCGAAUUUCGACUAGUACACAUCGCAGUUUUCGCAGUACGUGUCCUCCGUAAGUAAUAACAAAGGGUCAAUGUAAAUAUAUUAUUCUAUCACUCAUUCUUUCAAUAUCCUAUGCUAAUUAUUUUAUUUUAGAAUUAAAUGGUGAAGUGGGGAUACUCUCCCACCCGUGACGACAAUAUAAUCGGACCGAUUGACAGGUAAUGGUUCAGUCUUGCUUCGAAUUUCGACUAGUACACAUCGCAGUUUUCGCAGUACGUGUCCUCCGUAAGUAAUAACAAAGGGUCAAUGUAAAUAUAUUAUUCUAUCACUCAUUCUUUCAAUAUCCUAUGCUAAUUAUUUUAUCUUAAAAUUAAAUGGUGAAGUGGGGAUACUCUCCCACCCGUGACGACAAUAUAAUCGGACCGAUUGACAGGUAAUGGUUCAGUCUUGCUUCGAAUUUCGACUAGUACACAUCGCAGUUUUCGCAGUACGUGUCCUCCGUAAGUAAUAACAAAGGGUCAAUGUAAAUAUAUUAUUCUAUCACUCAUUCUUUCAAUAUCCUAUGCUAAUUAUUUUAUCUUAAAAUUAAAUGGUGAAGUGGGGAUAUUCUCCCACCCGUGACGACAAUAUAAUCGGACCGAUUGACAGGUAAUGGUUCAGUCUUGCUUCGAAUUUCGACUAGUACACAUCGCAGUUUUCGCAGUACGUGUCCUCCGUAAGUAAUAACAAAGGGUCAAUGUAAAUAUAUUAUUCUAUCACUCAUUCUUUCAAUAUCCUAUGCUAAUUAUUUUAUUUUAGAAUUAAAUGGUGAAGUGGGGAUACUCUCCCACCCGUGACGACAAUAUAAUCGGACCGAUUGACAGGUAAUGGUUCAGUCUUGCUUCGAAUUUCGACUAGUACACAUCGCAGUUUUCGCAGUACGUGUCCUCCGUAAGUAAUAACAAAGGGUCAAUGUAAAUAUAUUAUUCUAUCACUCAUUCUUUCAAUAUCCUAUGCUAAUUAUUUUAUUUUAGAAUUAAAUGGUGAAGUGGGGAUACUCUCCCACCCGUGACGACAAUAUAAUCGGACCGAUUGACAGGUAAUGGUUCAGUCUUGCUUCGAAUUUCGACUAGUACACAUCGCAGUUUUCGCAGUACGUGUCCUCCGUAAGUAAUAACAAAGGGUCAAUGUAAAUAUAUUAUUCUAUCACUCAUUCUUUCAAUAUCCUAUGCUAAUUAUUUUAUCUUAAAAUUAAAUGGUGAAGUGGGGAUACUCUCCCACCCGUGACGACAAUAUAAUCGGACCGAUUGACAGGUAAUGGUUCAGUCUUGCUUCGAAUUUCGACUAGUACACAUCGCAGUUUUCGCAGUACGUGUCCUCCGUAAGUAAUAACAAAGGGUCAAUGUAAAUAUAUUAUUCUAUCACUCAUUCUUUCAAUAUCCUAUGCUAAUUAUUUUAUCUUAAAAUUAAAUGGUGAAGUGGGGAUACUCUCCCACCCGUGACGACAAUAUAAUCGGACCGAUUGACAGGUAAUGGUUCAGUCUUGCUUCGAAUUUCGACUAGUACACAUCGCAGUUUUCGCAGUACGUGUCCUCCGUAAGUAAUAACAAAGGGUCAAUGUAAAUAUAUUAUUCUAUCACUCAUUCUUUCAAUAUCCUAUGCUAAUUAUUUUAUUUUAGAAUUAAAUGGUGAAGUGGGGAUACUCUCCCACCCGUGACGACAAUAUAAUCGGACCGAUUGACAGGUAAUGGUUCAGUCUUGCUUCGAAUUUCGACUAGUACACAUCGCAGUUUUCGCAGUACGUGUCCUCCGUAAGUAAUAACAAAGGGUCAAUGUAAAUAUAUUAUUCUAUCACUCAUUCUUUCAAUAUCCUAUGCUAAUUAUUUUAUUUUAGAAUUAAAUGGUGAAGUGGGGAUACUCUCCCACCCGUGACGACAAUAUAAUCGGACCGAUUGACAGGUAAUGGUUCAGUCUUGCUUCGAAUUUCGACUAGUAUACAUCGCAGUUUUCGCAGUACGUGUCCUCCGUAAGUAAUAACAAAGGGUCAAUGUAAAUAUAUUAUUCUAUCACUCAUUCUUUCAAUAUCCUAUGCUAAUUAUUUUAUUUUAGAAUUAAAUGGUGAAGUGGGGAUACUCUCCCACCCGUGACGACAAUAUAAUCGGACCGAUUGACAGGUAAUGGUUCAGUCUUGCUUCGAAUUUCGACUAGUACACAUCGCAGUUUUCGCAGUACGUGUCCUCCGUAAGUAAUAACAAAGGGUCAAUGUAAAUAUAUUAUUCUAUCACUCAUUCUUUCAAUAUCCUAUGCUAAUUAUUUUAUUUUAGAAUUAAAUGGUGAAGUGGGGAUACUCUCCCACCCGUGACGACAAUAUAAUCGGACCGAUUGACAGGUAAUGGUUCAGUCUUGCUUCGAAUUUCGACUAGUACACAUCGCAGUUUUCGCAGUACGUGUCCUCCGUAAGUAAUAACAAAGAGUCAAUGUAAAUAUAUUAUUCUAUCACUCAUUCUUUCAAUAUCCUAUGCUAAUUAUUUUAUUUUAGAAUUAAAUGGUGAAGUGGGGAUACUCUCCCACCCGUGACGACAAUAUAAUCGGACCGAUUGACAGGUAAUGGUUCAGUCUUGCUUCGAAUUUCGACUAGUACACAUCGCAGUUUUCGCAGUACGUGUCCUCCGUAAGUAAUAACAAAGGGUCAAUGUAAAUAUAUUAUUCUAUCACUCAUUCUUUCAAUAUCCUAUGCUAAUUAUUUUAUUUUAGAAUUAAAUGGUGAAGUGGGGAUACUCUCCCACCCGUGACGACAAUAUAAUCGGACCGAUUGACAGGUAAUGGUUCAGUCUUGCUUCGAAUUUCGACUAGUACACAUCGCAGUUUUCGCAGUACGUGUCCUCCGUAAGUAAUAACAAAGGGUCAAUGUAAAUAUAUUAUUCUAUCACUCAUUCUUUCAAUAUCCUAUGCUAAUUAUUUUAUCUUAAAAUUAAAUGGUGAAGUGGGGAUACUCUCCCACCCGUGACGACAAUAUAAUCGGACCGAUUGACAGAUAAUGGUUCAGUCUUGCUUCGAAUUUCGACUAGUACACAUCGCAGUUUUCGCAGUACGUGUCCUCCGUAAGUAAUAACAAAGAGUCAAUGUAAAUAUAUUAUUCUAUCACUCAUUCUUUGAAUAUCCUAUGCUAAUUAUUUUAUCUUAAAAUUAAAUGGUGAAGUGGGGAUACUCUCCCACCCGUGACGACAAUAUAAUCGGACCGAUUGACAGGUAAUGGUUCAGUCUUGCUUCGAAUUUCGACUAGUACACAUCGCAGUUUUCGCAGUACGUGUCCUCCGUAAGUAAUAACAAAGAGUCAAUGUAAAUAUAUUAUUCUAUCACUCAUUCUUUCAAUAUCCUAUGCUAAUUAUUUUAUUUUAAAAUUAAAUGGUGAAGUGGGGAUACUCUCCAUCCCGUGACGACAACAAACUCGGACCUUUAGCCGACUGUGGCAGUUACUAGUUCAGUUUCGCUGUGUCUUCCGACGAAUGAACUUAGAAAUUUUCUUACCUUCUGAGAACUUUGACAAUCUAUCUCCACGAUCAUGGACUUAGAAAUUUUCGUAGGAUGCCAAUGGAGCGAGUAUUAACGAAGACUUAAAAACCUCGUUGCAAUCGUGCGCGUUGCAAUGAUGUAAUCGAGUGUUAGUAUCGCUAAAAUAAAUUUAUCGCGAAGUAGAAGCAGUGUUUGUUCGUUCGCGUUUCGCGAUUUAAAUCAUAAGUGUUUUUACAAAGACUGUGUGCAAUGCAGUCGUU